GUUGGCUCGAGCUCCAUAUUCGAUUAUUAAAAAUCAUACUCAGGCCUGGGAGACGAGUAUUUACACAUCUGUCUGCUCAUCUGAAGACACGCUCGUCAAGAUGUGGCCCUCAUCACCGCACCGCUGCGUGGGAAGAGGGGCUCGGGGACCCCGAGUGCACGUUUGAUUUAAUGACAUCACCUUGGCCAAGAUUCAGAAAUUCAGAACUCUAACUUACCCUGAACUAUCUACAAACGAAAAUGGAAAGAUGAUUCUGUUUUGUGUCUCUGCCUCUGUGUACUCCAACUUCGGAUUCUUCAGAAUGAACAAAGAGUUUAAAGAGGCCACAAACCGCAGGCUUCUCUGCCAGAGAGAUUAUUAACACGAAGACAAGCUCCAUGCUAAAUACUGAGAAACCUAGCUGCUACUGUGGAGUGUGGUUACCUUGGAGAAACCUUGCUCUCAACUCAGGAUACUUCUAGUUAGAAAAAGAAUUAUGGUCCUGGCCAGAUUGACUUAGUGAUAAAAAUUCACAGUAAUAAAUAGAUCCCUUGAUUUUUCAAAAUGCACUUUGGAGCCAUC
rnacentral:lncRNA from 1 species